UAUGAAUUACAACUCAGGUGCCAUUUUAAGUGUAGAGUUGAAGGUGUGAGGACGUAGGUACCGUCGCUCCUACUGACCAGGUGGUAUUUGAUGGUCAAGCCCUUUCAAGUCAGGAAUGUGAAGAGAUUGGUAUCACUAGUGUACAAGAUGGAUUCUCAUAUUCACCAGAACUUCUCUCAUCGCUCUCUUCACUCUCCCUUUGUUCUCCAGUUGAUCCUUUAUAUCCUGCAUCAGGAUUACUCUCGCAGCCUCUGUAUUCACCACAAGAGACGAGCCUCAUGCAGACUGAUUAAUUCGAACCCCAAACGGAGAGUUUAGUGCAAGAGUCCUUAUCUACAUUGGUCAAAAGCUCAGGCAAUGGACAUCCCUGCAGAAAAUCAACGAAGAAACACACUCGACACAGCUAUCAUAGAUCCUGACAGUGAGAAUAUAAACAGUAUACAUGUGGCAGACAAUGAUAUCUUGGAGAGAAUGGGAACACCGCUGACAGUGUCAUUGCUGGAUGGUAGGUCAAAAAAAAGUACUCUCAAUUUAUAUAUGGCCUCAGAUUUUUAUUAUGGUAUUAAUUGGGUAAUAAGACAAAAUAUUUGUAGCUUUGUCUUGUAAUUUUGUCUGUGUAAAGAUGAAAUGAUUAUGUGAGCGAAAAAAUUAAGCAAUGAACUGUGAAUGCACUGAUGGAAGGGUGGGAGUGUUGCAGUCCUAGAGGUGAGAAGUACAACACCUGCACCCUGAAGGGUCAUAAUGACACAAUUACAAACAAACUACUGUACAGAUGGGGCUUGAACUUGUGGCAAGUGAGCGGUAAAACUCCAGUCCAGUACAUAAGCCACUGGGCCAGCUGACUACCAGAGGUGUCGCUAGAGUUGGUGUCACUCGGGGCAACAUCUUUGGUGUCACCCCCAUUUAAGGGCCAUAAACCAAACAGGAGAAUACUUCUCAACUUUAUUAAUGAUAAAUAAUCUUAGUAAUAUUGAGGAAACACAAACUCGAAUACCACUUUGAGUACAGGCAACAGAUCCUACACUUAUUCAACUUCAAAGAAAAAAAAAAAAAAACUUGAAAAAUAAAGAAAAACAUUGCAAUAUCAGAGAAACACUUGUUACGAUUUGACUUUGAGUACAGGUAACAUCUCAGUGAAUCUGAUCUUACGUUUUCUUGCCUUCAAUUAUGCAAAAUCUUCUCUCACAUCAUCAAAAUCAAUGAUUUUCCCUAUAUAGGCUUAUUUGUACUUUGUUAAUAUAUAAUAGGCUACAUAGAAACAAAGGAUUCUUCUCGUAUGUUGGUGCAGCACUGUUCUGUACAUUAGUGUCACCUUUAGAGGCUCUAUUGCGUCCCCCUAAAUGGUGUCACCCAGGGCAGCCUGCCCCCCUGCCACCCUUCCCCUUACAAUGCCUCUGCUGACUACAGUAAGAUUCAUCCAAUUAGGUAUAUUUCUACACCAUA